rnacentral:lncRNA from 1 species
AAACAUUUUCGUUUCCAAUAUCAUGCUUAUCCAAUAUCAAUCGAAACCAGUAAACGUCCAUGAAUGUUCUAAAUCACUGUAGCAAUCUGGAAGCAGAAAAAUUCUUGAUAUGAAUUAUUCAUAAACAUGCAUGUUCUAAAUAAGGCUUUUGAAUCCUACGCUGUUAUGUCAUUGCAAUCCAAGUCCAUGGUUAUGAGGGAAAUGCUCUGUUUCUGGCACCGGCCUCGUCUUCGCUUCAUCGUUGCUACCCGUUUAAUACUGUAAGUGCUGUGAUAUGCCUCACCAUUUCUUGUAGGUGCGAGGUUGAUGUUCGACAGCUGCAUCAUUACGAGGAAUGAGUCGGUCUCGUUUGCAAGACUUGAAGAAAACAAGAAAGCUGACAGAGGGAGUUUGAAGAACAGCAAGGCAGUCUUAUUAUUCUAUGUGAUUUCUACGGUGCAUAUACAUAGUUUAUAUAAAAAAGAUCUUGUCUAAAUAAAUAAACGGACAGACUAGCAACUAAUCUUUAGGAUUUAAUUACAAAAACUACAAUCAAACUAAAUCUCUAAGAUAUGAUUUACAACUCAAGCUUUAAUUGUUUUGAUUCCGAAUCCUAACAAGACUAGCCACCAAAUUACAUCCAAAUUACAUAUUUGAUUUUUUUCUUUUCCAGUUGCAAUCUGCGGCGGCAUCCCAUUUCCAGGAGCUAAGCUUUAACAAGGUUGCUUAUUCACAUUACUAUUUUGCAUGCAUAAAUCUAUGCUAGAAAUAUUUGGAACUAAUUACUUUGCCAACGCUUCUGUUUGCAUGAUAACACUACCCAAAAGUAGGCAAGGAACAGAGCAUUAGAAUUGGUUGUGAAACGAGGACAGCCCCUGGUUGAUCCGAGUGAUGGAGAAAACGUGGAUGAUUGGAGUUCUCCCAUGGUUCUGAGGUCUUGAAAGAGUUCGACAGCGCCUGUUUUAUUCAAGAAGCUUUUGGUCUUCGUCACCAGGCAUGAGGUAUUUUAGUUGUAAGGAUUCCUAGCUUCUCAGAACUGGAGCUCUGAUACCAUAAAGAAAAUGAUAAUGCAAAUGUUUUCUGUAUUUUCUUUUUUCAAUAUUGCAAAGCUGUACGACAUAU